rnacentral:lncRNA from 1 species
CCUUCUUAUAUCCUGGACCUUGUAUAGUAAGCAUCUAUCUGAACAGAUUCAGAUCAGAGUGAAUGAAGGCAGUGUGGGAUAUGAACGGGACAUCUGGGUACAUUCCACAGAGAGCACACCGCAUACACUCAAGCACUGUGAAGAUCUGCAUGAAGGCAAUAGACAUCCAGAAGUACUGCAUUGGUUUCCCCUGAUACACAAUGCUUGGCAUCCAGGUACACAUGGUGGCCACUGCUUGGGAGCCAGUGUCCAGGAGGAUAGCCAGAAUCACAUGGAACCUCAGAAAGUGCGGUGACCACUUCCGCCUCACAACGAAGAAGUACACCGUCAUAAAUAUCACCAGAAAGAGCCACCCAGGACACAGCGUCAUAGUAUCGAUGAAGGUGUACAGCAGCGAAAACCCUUGCAAGUAAGUGUGCAGCUGGUAGAUCACGUCAGCAUAAGACCACAUGUUGUGGAGUGGCAGCAAGUAUGGCACACAAGCAAGAGUUCUCCACCACCAUCUGGGUUUGGAAGUCAGCUCCGGGUAGCUGAAUGAUGCCAGUGAGAAUGCUUGACAACUAACGGAUCUUGGAUGCUGACUGUGCCUUAUUGACAGUGAUGGAAUGCCCUUGACAGAAUUUCCCAUUGGAAAUG